UGGAGAAAUACCUCUUGCAAUUGAUGUACUCUGAGGCAAGGUGGUUGAGAUGCUAACAGAUGCAUAGGGGGAUGACAGUGGCUACAUUGCCAAUCAAACUGGUAACCCUUAAGAUGAAGCAACAUCCUGACAUACUUAUCCCCAGCAAUGAAUCUUCAAGCUACUUCCAAGAUCUACUGAUCAUACAUACUUCCUUCUGCUGUUCCA